rnacentral:rRNA from 1 species
AUGCAAGUCGAACGGUUAGCACAGAGAGCUUGCUCUCGGGUGACGAGUGGCGGACGGGUGAGUAAUGUCUGGGAAACUGCCUGAUGGAGGGGGAUAACUACUGGAAACGGUAGCUAAUACCGCAUAACGUCGCAAGACCAAAGAGGGGGACCUUCGGGCCUCUUGCCAUCAGAUGUGCCCAGAUGGGAUUAGCUAGUAGGUGGGGUAACGGCUCACCUAGGCGACGAUCCCUAGCUGGUCUGAGAGGAUGACCAGCCACACUGGAACUGAGACACGGUCCAGACUCCUACGGGAGGCAGCAGUGGGGAAUAUUGCACAAUGGGCGCAAGCCUGAUGCAGCCAUGCCGCGUGUAUGAAGAAGGCCUUCGGGUUGUAAAGUACUUUCAGCGGGGAGGAAGGUGUUGUGGUUAAUAACCACAGCAAUUGACGUUACCCGCAGAAGAAGCACCGGCUAACUCCGUGCCAGCAGCCGCGGUAAUACGGAGGGUGCAAGCGUUAAUCGGAAUUACUGGGCGUAAAGCGCACGCAGGCGGUCUGUCAAGUCGGAUGUGAAAUCCCCGGGCUCAACCUGGGAACUGCAUUCGAAACUGGCAGGCUGGAGUCUUGUAGAGGGGGGUAGAAUUCCAGGUGUAGCGGUGAAAUGCGUAGAGAUCUGGAGGAAUACCGGUGGCGAAGGCGGACCCCUG